rnacentral:rRNA from 1 species
GACGAACGCUGGCGGCGUGCUUAACACAUGCAAGUCGAACGGAAAGGCCCUGCUUUUGUGGGGUGCUCGAGUGGCGAACGGGUGAGUAACACGUGAGUAACCUGCCCUUGACUUUGGGAUAACUUCAGGAAACUGGGGCUAAUACCGGAUAGGAGCUCCUGCUGCAUGGUGGGGGUUGGAAAGUUUCGGCGGUUGGGGAUGGACUCGCGGCUUAUCAGCUUGUUGGUGGGGUAGUGGCUUACCAAGGCUUUGACGGGUAGCCGGCCUGAGAGGGUGACCGGCCACAUUGGGACUGGGAUACGGCCCAGACUCCUACGGGAGGCAGCGGUGGGGAAUAUUGCACAAUGGGCGGAAGCCUGAUGCAGCAACGCCGCGUGCGGGAUGACGGCCUUCGGGUUGUAAACCGCUUUCGCCUGUGACGAAGCGUGAGUGACGGUAAUGGGUAAAGAAGCACCGGCUAACUACGUG